rnacentral:rRNA from 1 species
UUACAGAGUUAUCUAAACUCCCAAACCCAUGUGAACAUACCUCGCGUUGCCUCGGCAGGUGGCGUCCUACCCCGUGAUACCUACCCUGUAGGACCUACCCGGUAGGCGACCCUGCCGACGGCCCCCGAAACUCUGUUUUUAUAGCAUUGGACUUCUGAAAAGAUAACUAAAUAAGUUAAAACUUUCAACAACGGAUCUCUUGGUUCUGGCAUCGAUGAAGAACGCAGCGAAAUGCGAUAAGUAAUGUGAAUUGCAGAAUUCAGUGAAUCAUCGAAUCUUUGAACGCACAUUGCGCCCACUAGUAUUCUGGUGGGCAUGCCUGUUCGAGCGUCAUUUCAACCCUUAAGCCCCCGUUGCUUAGUGUUGGGAGCCUACUGGAACUCUCCUGUAGCUCCCCAAAGUCAGUGGCGGAGCCGGUUCGCACUCCAGACGUAGUAGCUUUUACACAUCGCCUGUAGCUUGGACCCGGUCCCCUGCCGUAAAACACCCCCCAAUUUUAUAGGUUGACCUCGGAUCAGGUAGGAAUACCCGCUGAACUUAAGCAUAUCAAUAA